AUUGAUAUCACUUAAUAUUGUUUAAUGUGUAUAUGUACAAGAGGCUACGGGUUGAGGGACCAACUGCACUGGGAGUUUCCAUGGCAUGUUACAUCACACUUUUAUAGUGUUAAUUUUGUUUACUUAAUAAGAAUAUUUGCAAGCGACAAUUUGAACUGUCCCACUGUGUGUCACAGCGUGCAUUCAAUGCCUAAAUCUCCAGUGUUCUUGUACAGUUUUCCACAAUAGGUAGUUCCAAGCUUUUUUCUGUGUGGUACGGUAUUGUCCACU